CUGAAGACUAAGAAAAUAGAGUCCUUAGUCAAGUGACUCUGCUUUUUAGACCUCUUAACUGAAAAGAUAGACAAACAGGUCUUUGUUUGCAAAUAAUUCAGACCUACUUAUCUCCCAACAGCA
rnacentral:snoRNA from 1 species